GGCAAAUGCUUGAAAGCCAAGCAGGAAUCUCCAGAAACGGAGGACGGCUACCCAAUCGUCCUCAGCUACAAGGGCUCAGAACCCAAGUGAACCAAUGGAGUACCACGCUGUUUACGGCGACAUUGAUGUGUGUGCGGUAACCAGGAUGACCUAUAUAAGUGACGACGCACUGCAAGUGUUUGUGACCAAGUCUCACUACGAGAACUAUGGUCGGAAUGCCAGCUGCUGCGAUUUUAUUUACACCAUGCUCUCCGGCUCGUCUCAGAAGUACGACAUCUACGACGAGAGCUGCGACAC